rnacentral:lncRNA from 1 species
GCUGAGGAUCACUUCCAGAGGCAGCUGCACUUUGCAUCACCUUUCUAUAGUUUUCUCUGAUAGUCUUUCUCCGCAAAUUCCCACAUUGCUAUUGACGCCAGGUCUUGAACACAAGCUCUGCAGAUGAAUCGAGAUGCUAAAUGAGUUCCAGCAUCCCUGCUUCUCUGCUGCAUGUACUCCAAGGACAGAUGGCAGAGGAAGACACCACCUGUCUGACAAAAGGCCAUUCCUGGUUCAUGCUCUGAAUGUCACGCUGAGUAGCCAUGACUGUUGCUGAGGACACACCAAUUGUUAUGUAAUGAUAGGUUCAGUUGGGAAAUGCACAACCACAUGAAGAGCUAAGCUGAAACUAACCUUUCCACUCAACUCAGCAGAAAGGACAACUUUACCCAGACAGAUGGUGAUGUGCACUGGCGUGUGUGACCCGUUUCCACGUCACUGGGCAUUUUGGACUUUUCAGAAGCACUUUCAAAUAUAUUUUAAAAUAAAAUACGAUGCAGUGUAUUAUAUUCUGUUUGCUUGAGGCAGACACCGUCCCUUUUUUCUGCUUUCAGACUUAACUAAAGUUAGGUAAGUGAAACCAAGUUAUAAGGUAUUAUUUAGACAUAUGUGAGUGCAAGGGGUUAAAUUUUACCCUCAAAAGCAUGAUGUGUUUAAUAAGCCAAAUGACUGACAAUGAUUUGGAAAAUAGGAAAAUGUGGUGGACAAAACUAUCUUAUAAAAAGUGCUAGCCAUUAUAUUAUAUAAAAUAUCAGUCAGAAAAUAAUUAUUGAGCAAAAUAAAAAUCCAUCAUUUCUAGUGCUGUCUCUGCAGUUAUUCAACAACAGACUUCUCUGGAAUUUAGUUCUGCACAUAAAAUAAAAUAAAGGUUUCUUUCAAUAUUAACAUUUCUGAAAAGUAAAUUUCUUGAAAUCUAUCUCUUCAAGAUCUAUGGUAAAGAGUGUUCCAUGAUAAGUGAAGGAAACUUUUAAGAAUUUCAUGAAACUGAAUUACUUCAAAUGUCUGAAUGUCUACAAAGUCCACUAAUAAAGAAACCAUGUAAUUUUAACUCCAUGUUUCUAAAUUUUACUUGACCAUGAAAUAUUAUGUCUUAUUAGGAGUGUACUUUGAGGAUUAUGUAUUAUAAAUUUUCCACAUAUAUAUAUUUUGCAGAUGAGUAUAUUAAUAGUCAUUCAAAUGUAAAAAUUUAAAUUAAUAUACUCAUUUCACCUACUACAAGUUAAAUUUUACUAUACAUGUAUUAAAUAUCUUGUAUCUCAGAAAUUAAUGAAAAUAACACUAAGGUAAUUAAAUUCUGGUUUUCAGAUUAUAUAAUGAUAUUCUUUAUCCUCAAAAACUCAUGUUCCAGUCUCUUCAAUUUUGCAAUUAAUUGGUUAUUUUAAAUUCAUAUCCCUUAUGACUACUAUAUACUUUAUUAUUGCAGCCUUAAGUGCUGCUAUGGCUUGUGUUUAGAUGUCACCCCAAAGCCUCAUGCAGUCAUAGGUGGGCCUUUUUCAGAGGUAGCUGAACCUAGAGUGUGUGACUCUGGAAUUGAUUAAUGGUGCAAUGCUAGAAUCAAGGGUACUAAGAUUAAGGUUAAGAGAGGUAGCAGCCCUAAGUAGCCUGAAUAAGAUAUAAGAGAUAGAAAGAGCUGUGGUCAUCCCUUGUUGUUUUGCUAUCUUCCUACCAUGAACAGUUUCUCCCUUUUAAUGCCUGUCUUCCAUGUGACUUUGCCUUGGGGCCAGCUGAUUGGACUGAAACAUGUAUAAACUUUGAGCUAAAUAAACCUUUCCUCCU